GACGAACGCUGGCGGCGUGCUUAACACAUGCAAGUCGAGCGGAAAGGCCCUUUCGGGGGUACUCGAGCGGCGAACGGGUGAGUAACACGUGAGUAAUCUGCCCUGUGCUCUGGGAUAGCCACCGGAAACGGUGAUUAAUACCGGAUAUGACGCCUUGCUGCAUGGUGGGGUGUGGAAAGUAUUUUCGGCGCAGGAUGUGCUCGCGGCCUAUCAGCUUGUUGGUGGGGUAAUGGCCUACCAAGGCUUUGACGGGUAGCCGGCCUGAGAGGGUGACCGGUCACACUGGGACUGAGACACGGCCCAGACUCCUACGGGAGGCAGCAGUGGGGAAUAUUGGACAAUGGGCGGAAGCCUGAUCCAGCAACGCCGCGUGAGGGAUGACGGCCUUCGGGUUGUAAACCUCUUUCAGCAUCGACGAAGCGAUCCUUUGUGGGGAGUGACGGUAGGUGCAGAAGAAGGACCGGCCAACUACGUGCCAGCAGCCGCCGUAACAC
rnacentral:rRNA from 1 species